UUCAGGGCGGAGGGUGAGGCUCAAAUCUCUUGAAUCUGAAUCUAUCCCGCGGCCUCCUCAUCUUUCCCAGUUUGGAGAGUCCUCUACCAAAAUUGCAAGAUCUGGAGAGAGUGCCCGCCAACACCAUUUGGAAUUAACAUUCUGUGAGCAAGGACAGCCAGCAAGAAAGAGGCUUGUAUGAAUAUCCUUAGCAUUUCCUAGCCAGCUUCAUAAUCCCUUUAAAGCUGAUUCUUGCACAUCUUGCAGGAAAGGCUCAGUGACACCUAUGUGAUGGUUUUCCUGUGACAGACCACUGCCAUCCUCCUAGGCUUCAGGCCCCCAGAGCCCUCUGACUCAGCUGCUGCAAA